rnacentral:pre_miRNA from 1 species
AAAGUACUCCCUCCGCCCGGAAUUACUUGUCAUCAAAAUGGAUGUGUCUAGAACUAAAAUACAUCUAGAUACAUUCAUUUCAAUGACAAGUAUUUUCGGACGGAGGGAGUACAAG